rnacentral:lncRNA from 1 species
CAAUACGAACUAUGAUGCCUCGCUUCUUACGGCGAUUACCUAUCCAAAAAUUACUCUAAUUCUAAGCUCAUUCAACAUUUUUAACCUUUUGGACCUAGCAACCACUAAAAAUAAUAUAGCCAGUUUAAAAUAUUUAGCCAUAUAUGCUAAUACCUUAUAUAUAAUAUUAUUCCAAAUCCUAAGAGUGUCACAAUAAGGUCCCAAAUUCAAAAUCCUAAUUGCUUCACAUUUUCAGUUAAAUUUAUUUCUAAAACUAACAAACGAAGCGGUAGUAUAAUACCAUCCUCUAAAAAAAAAUUCAUUAUUUUUUGACAUUACUUAUUUACUAAAAGCGCCCUCAAAAGUGAAUUUCCUAAUUAUAUGUAUUUUUUCAAAUCUACUAUCGUCUAGCUUAUUUCCGGCUCUGAUAUCGAUUGUUGGAAGUGUGAUUUUUUUUUUAUAUCAAUUGUUGAAAGUUGAAACAAGUACUUAUGCUAAUACUGAUCAUAUGUAAAGAUUCAAAGGGCUUUUUUUGCAUUUAGCCCCUGGCAAAUUUUUAUUUUAAAAAUAGCCCUAUCAAAAUUUAAUUUGCAAAAAUGGCCCUAGACCUGCCACGCAGGCGCCACAUCAGCGCCACGCGGGUGGGGCUGGGGGCGGUAGUUAAGUUAAACAUGGUGAACCAUUCACCGUGUUUAGACACGGUGAAUGAUUCACCGUGUUUAGUACGUAUUUUUUAUAUAUUGAAAAGAGGAAUAGGGAAUUUGUAUUCCUUUUCUUCUCUUUUUCAAAAAUCCGAACCCGAACCCGAAAAUCAAAUUAAAAUGCAAACCCGGAUCCCAAUCCGACGGAUUUUAAAAAUUCAUACCGAUAUCCAUAUCCGACCAAAAACUCGAAACCCAAACCUCAACCCUGCGGGUUUUAAAAAUCUAUACCAUUAGAUGAAAAUCUAAGAAAUAAAAAUUAUUAAAUAUUUUAUAUAUUGUAUAAAUAAAUAAAAAUAAAUUAUGUAUAUAUAUAUAUAUAUAAAAUUUAUUCGGGUUUGAAUUCGGAUAAUAUUUCGGAUAUCCAUACCUAUUGACAUCCUUACUCCCUAUUCCUCUUUUCAAUAUACAAAAAAUACGUACUAAACACAGUGAACCAUUCACUUCAACUUACCACACGAGCCCCGAUCCCGCCCGCGUGGCGCUGACGUGGCGCCUGUGUAGCAGGCCCAGGGUCAUUUUUGCAAAUUAAAUUUUGACAGAGCUAAUUUUAAAAUAAAAAUUUGCUAGGAGGCUAAAUGCAAAAAAAGCCCAGAUUCAAAUAAAGUUUCAAACAUAGACCUUUUUUGAUAUAUUGACGUUCUAUUAAGAUCUGGUCAAGUUUUUCGUAUUUCGGCUUCCUUGCUCUGAUACCACUUGUUGAAAGAAGAGGAAUAUUAUAGCGAAUUAAACUAAAACUUUAUUAAAUAUUCUUUAACUAAAUUUCAAUGAUGGAUUAUUUUUCACACAUUUACAACAGUCUACAUAUAAGCGUAAACCAAAAAUUUUAAUAGCAAUAAUUGAAUAAGAUUUAAACUUAUCUUUUAUGUCUAACUAAUAAAAAUAUUAAGAAACAAAUCUGACGGAAAUAAAUCUAAACUUAUCAAAAAUAUUAGAUUACUUAUCAACAGGGUGUAAUUUUAGAAUAGUAUAUAGGUGAGG